rnacentral:rRNA from 1 species
UACGGAGGGUGCAAGCGUUAAUCGGAAUUACUGGGCGUAAAGCGUGCGUAGGUGGUUCGUUAAGUCCGUUGUGAAAGCCCCGAGCUCAACUUGGGAAUUGCAGUGGAUACUGGCGAGCUGGAGUGCGGUAGAGGAAGGUGGAAUUCCCGGUGUAGCGGUGAAAUGCGUAGAGAUCGGGAGGAACACCAGUGGCGAAGGCGGCCUGCUGGACCAGCACUGACACUCAGGCACGAAAGCGUGGGGAGCAAACAGG